rnacentral:misc_RNA from 1 species
AAGUCGUAACAAGGUUUCCGUAGGUGAACCUGCGGAAGGAUCAUUAUCUAUAACCGGGUGUGGCUGCGGCCUCCGGGGGCGUGGGCGUCGAAACGAUGCCCUCUCUUCCGGGUGGUAGAGGUAAAACUCUCACGCGCCACAUGUCUGAAUCCUUUUUUUACGAGCACCUUUCGUUCUCCUUCGGUGGGGUGACCUGCCGUUGGAACCUAUCAAAACUCUUUUUGCAUCUAGCAUUACCUGUUCUGAUACAAACAAUCGUUACAACUUUCAACAAUGGAUCUCUUGGCUCUG